UACGUAGGGCGCAAGCGUUGUCCGGAAUUAUUGGGCGUAAAGAGCUCGUAGGCGGCCUGUUGCGUCCGCUGUGAAAACCCGGGGCUUAACCCCGGGCUUGCAGUGGAUACGGGCAGGCUGGAGGCAGGCAGGGGAGAACGGAAUUCCCGGUGUAGCGGUGAAAUGCGCAGAUAUCGGGAGGAACACCGGUGGCGAAGGCGGUUCUCUGGGCAUGAUCUGACGCUGAGGAGCGAAAGUGGUGGGGAGCGAACAGG
rnacentral:rRNA from 1 species